CACCUCGUUACCUCCUCAUUUCUCACCGAAUAAACAAUACACUCACGUCGGAGCUUUACCAGAAAAACUCGAAGCGUUUGCCGGAGUAAUCGAGACACCGUCGGAGUAACCAAGUUCUUCGGAGUUUUGACGGGACUCGGCUCGACUCGUUUGUCGAAAGAGAACAAGUUCCGCACCCUCGGCACGUUUCGUUGGAGAACCAUAACACUCACCGGAGCCGUCCGAAUCGCACAGGAGCUUACUGUUCGGAUAAUCACUCUCGCUCGUUCUCUUGGAUUAUUCUCCAUUCUUACUCGUGUGUUACUUACAAGAAAUUGCAACGCAACCAAUGU